rnacentral:tRNA from 1 species
GGAUAGAUGGCCGAGUGGUCGAAGGCGCACGAUUGGAAAUCGUGUGUACCUGUUAAAGGGUACCGUGAGUUCGAAUCUCACUCUAUCCGCCA